GACGAACGCUGGCGGCGUGCCUAACACAUGCAAGUCGAACGGAAAGGCCCUGCUUUUGUGGGGCGCUCGAGUGGCGAACGCGUGAGUAACACGUGAGUAAACUGCCCUUGACUUUGGGAUAAAUUUAGGAAAAACGGGCGAAUACCGGAUAGGAUCUUCUGCAGCAUGGUGGGGGAUGGAAAGUUUCGGCGGUUGGGGAUGGACUCGCGGCUUAUCAGCUUGUUGGUGGGGUAGUGGCUUACCAAGGCUUUGACGGGUAGCCGGCCUGAGAGGGUGACCGGCCACAUUGGGACUGAGAUACGGCCCAGACUCCUACGGGAGGCAGCAGUGGGGAAUAUUGCACAAUGGGCGGAAGCCUGAUGCAGCAACGCCGCGUGCGGGAUGACGGCCUUCGGGUUGUAAACCGCUUUCGCCUGUGACGAAGCGUGAGUGACGGUAAUGGGUAAAGAAGCACCGGCUAACUACGUG
rnacentral:rRNA from 1 species